rnacentral:rRNA from 1 species
GCUGGCAGCUAGCUCUCUGCAAGCUAAGCAUGCAGGGCUGUGCCUGGUCAGUACCUGGAUGGGAUACCACAUGGGAAAGCUAGGUUGCUGCCAGAA